AUGAAAUCUCUGUGGCUUUUCCUUUCCCUGCUCUCCACCUUCGCCUGUGUCCACUCCCAGGUGCAGCUGGUCCAGUCCGGGCUGGGAGCGGUGAAGCCCGGAGAGACCCUCACCCUGACCUGCGCUGUCUCGGGUGUAUCCAUCACUGACAACAGCUACGGAUGGGACUGGUUCCGGCAGCCUUCUGGAACAGGGCUGGAGUGGGUGGGAGGGAUUUAUCCAUAUUAUGGGAGCACAGCCUACACCCCGUCCCUCCAAGUCCGAUCCACCGUCUCUGCAGACACUGCCAAGAACCAGUUCUCCCUGCAGCUCCGCUCCCUGACAGCUGCAGACACCGCCACCUAUUACUGCGCCAGGAGCUACACAGUGACACAGAGCAGAGCAGGGACGGGUUACUCUUAG